UCUCUUUAUAAAGGGCGACGCCGUGUUAAAAAGUCGACGUCGCUUUUUUUCUCCAUAGCUUAAUAUCGAAAAAAGGGCGUUGCGCGACGCGGAAAGUGGCCGAAAUAGAACACCAUAUAGUAUUUAUUAACCCAAAUAACGCUUCAAUCAUUUAUCCGUGUUGUGUCAUUGGUAUUCGUGAAAUAGCUAUCGACUGUUAAUGCCGGCUGUGAGUCGAGUCUGGGAGACGGAGACGAUAUUAUUUAAAAAUGGCUGUUUUUAGAAUCAGAGAUGCUGUAAUUGAUGAUUGUGAAGAAAUAUUCAGAGUGUGCAAGGAACAGGCAGUUUUUCACGACCUUGAAGACCACAUAACAUCCACAAUAGAUACCUUCAGAAAAGAUGCUUUUGGUGAAAAUCCUUUAUUUAGAUGCCAUGUAGCUGAAAAAAUUGAUUCAGGUGAGAUAGUCGGAUACUCGCUGUUCUUUCCCUUUUAUAUUUCAUUUAUGGGAAAGACUAUGUUCAUGCAAGAGCUUUUUGUUACAGAGAGUGCAAGAGGUAUAGGCAUUGGUCAGGCUCUCGUGAAACGAUUGGCACAGGUUUGUGUAGAAGAAGAUUAUGUUAGACUUCAGUGGGAGUCAAUGAAUUGGAAUGACAGAGCAAUUGCUUUCUAUAUAAAUAAACUGAACGGUCAAGACACGGCCUUGCUUGAUGGAGGAAGAAAAAUAUUUAUAUUAACCAAGGAGGCCAUGAAGAAACUCUAGUUAUUAGCAUAUGUGGCAUUAUCAAACAAAUGGCCAUGUCAUUGAUUACAUGAAUUAUGUAAAUUCGUUUAACAAAUAUAUUAUUAAAAUUUUCGAUAAAAAAUAGUAUUUAAU